rnacentral:rRNA from 1 species
UACAGAGGGGGCAAGGCGUUGUUCGGAAUUACUGGGCGUAAAGGGCGCGUAGGCGGCCUUCUAAGUCGAACGUGAAAUCCCCGGGCUCCGAACCCGGGAACUGCGUCCGAUACUGGAAGGCUUGAAUCCGGGAGAGGGAUGUGGAAUUCCGUGGUGUAGCGGUGAAAUGCGCAGAUAUCAGGAGGAACACCGGUGGCGAAGGCGGAUCUCUGGGCCUUAGCCUGACGCUGGAGGAGCGAAAGCAUGGGAG